GCUAUACAUGCAAGUCGAGCGAAUGGAUUAAGAGCUUGCUCUUAUGAAGUUAGCGGCGGACGGGUGAGUAACACGUGGGUAACCUGCCCAUAAGACUGGGAUAACUCCGGGAAACCGGGGCUAAUACCGGAUAACAUUUUGAACCGCAUGGUUCGAAAUUGAAAGGCGGCUUCGGCUGUCACUUAUGGAUGGACCCGCGUCGCAUUAGCUAGUUGGUGAGGUAACGGCUCACCAAGGCAACGAUGCGUAGCCGACCUGAGAGGGUGAUCGGCCACACUGGGACUGAGACACGGCCCAGACUCCUACGGGAGGCAGCAGUAGGGAAUCUUCCGCAAUGGACGAAAGUCUGACGGAGCAACGCCGCGUGAGUGAUGAAGGCUUUCGGGUCGUAAAACUCUGUUGUUAGGGAAGAACAAGUGCUAGUUGAAUAAGCUGGCACCUUGACGGUACCUAACCAGAAAGCCACGGCUAACUACGUGCCAGCAGCCGCGGUAAUACGUAGGUGGCAAGCGUUAUCCGGAAUUAUUGGGCGUAAAGCGCGCGCAGGUGGUUUCUUAAGUCUGAUGUGAAAGCCCACGGCUCAACCGUGGAGGGUCAUUGGAAACUGGGAGACUUGAGUGCAGAAGAGGAAAGUGGAAUUCCAUGUGUAGCGGUGAAAUGCGUAGAGAUAUGGAGGAACACCAGUGGCGAAGGCGACUUUCUGGUCUGUAACUGACACUGAG
rnacentral:rRNA from 1 species